rnacentral:rRNA from 1 species
CCUACGGGAGGCAGCAGUGAGGAAUAUUGGUCAAUGGCCGGGAGGCUGAACCAGCCAAGUCGCGUGAGGGAAGACGGCCCUACGGGUUGUAAACCUCUUUUGUCAGGGAGCACGGUGCAGGUCGGGACCUGCUGUGAGAGUACCUGAAGAAAAAGCAUCGGCUAACUCCGUGCCAGCAGCCGCGGUAAUACGGAGGAUGCGAGCGUAUACGGAUUUAUUGGGGUUAAAGGGUGCGACGGAGGAGGCACAAGUCAGCGGUAAAAUCGCGGGGCUCAACCCCGCUCCGCCGUUGAAACUGUGUCCAUUGAGUGCGCGAAGGGUAGGCGGAAUGCGUGGUGUAGCGGUGAAAUGCAUAGAUAUCAUGCAGAACUCCGAUCGCGAAGGCAGCCUACCGGCGCGCAACUGACGCUCAUGCACGAAAGCGUGGGUAUCGAACAGGAUUAGAUACCCUGGUAGUC